rnacentral:tRNA from 1 species
CAGGGAGUAGUUUAAUUAGAAUGUCAGCUUUGGGUGCUGAUGGUGGGGCUGUUGCUUCUUCCUUGA